GGAGUUAGCCGGUGCUUCUUCUGUGAGUGAUGUCCUUCCUGCCGGCUAUUAACCCGCAGGCCUUCUUCCUCACUGAAAGUGCUUUACAACCCGAAGGCCUUCUUCACACACGCGGCAUGGCUGGAUCAGGGUUGCCCCCAUUGUCCAAUAUUCCCCACUGCUGCCUCCCGUAGGAGUCUGGGCCGUGUCUCAGUCCCAGUGUGGCUGAUCAUCCUCUCAGACCAGCUACGGAUCGUCGCCUUGGUGAGCCGUUACCUCACCAACCAGCUAAUCCGACAUAGGCUCAUCCGAUAGCGCGAGGCCCGAAGGUCCCCCGCUUUCCCCCGUAGGGCGUAUGCGGUAUUAGCCUGGGUUUCCCCCAGGUUAUCCCCCACUACCGGGCAGAUUCCUAUGCAUUACUCACCCGUCCGCCGCUCGCCACCAGGGAGCAAGCUCCCCGUGCUGCCGCUCGACUUGCAUGUGUUAGGUCGUCGCCGCCACGCGUUCUACUACUGAGCCGACGGAGUACAACUACUCGA
rnacentral:rRNA from 1 species